CAACGGUGAAACUCAAAGGAAUUGACGGGGGCCCGCACAAGCGGAGGAACAUGUGGUUUAAUUCGAUGAUACGCGAGGAACCUUACCCGGGCUCAAACGCAGAGUGACCGACGGUGAAAGCCGUUCUCCCUUCGGGGCAAUCUGCGAGGUGCUGCAUGGUUGUCGUCAGCUCGUGCCGUGAGGUGUCGGCUUAAGUGCCAUAACGAGCGCAACCCCCAUCUACAGUUGCUAACAGGUGAUGCUGAGGACUCUGUGGAGACUGCCGGCGCAAGCUGCGAGGAAGGCGGGGAUGACGUCAAAUCAGCACGGCCCUUACGUCCGGGGCGACACACGUGUUACAAUGGCAGGUACAGCGGGAAGCCAUAUGGCGACAUAGAGCGGAACCCGAAAACCUGUCUCAGUUCGGAUUGGAGUCUGCAACCCGACUCCAUGAAGCUGGAUUCGCUAGUAAUUGCGCAUCAGCCACGGCGCGGUGAAUACGUUCCCGGGCCUUGUACACACCGCCCGUCAAGCCAUGGAAG
rnacentral:rRNA from 1 species